AUGGCCUGGCUGCUUGGACACGCCUCUGAUGUGUUGGACAUAGCUCUCAAGACCUGGCAUCAUAGCCUCCCCAUGUGCCCAGGGGGUGAUGCCAGUCACACCUGCCAUUCAGAAGAAGAUACUGCCCACAGAUUUACCAGGACCACUGAAGGGAAACAUCAGCAGCUGAGAGAUG
rnacentral:lncRNA from 1 species